GAUGAACGCUGGCGGCGUGCCUAAUACAUGCAAGUCGAGCGAACAGACGAGGAGCUUGCUCCUCUGACGUUAGCGGCGGACGGGUGAGUAACACGUGGAUAACCUACCUAUAAGACUGGGAUAACUUCGGGAAACCGGAGCUACUACCGGAUAAUAUAUUGAACCGCAUGGUUCAAUAGUGAAAGACGGUUUUGCUGUCACUUAUAGAUGGAUCCGCGCUGCAUUAGCUAGUUGGUAAGGUAACGGCUUACCAAGGCAACGAUGCGUAGCCGACCUGAGAGGGUGAUCGGCCACACUGGAACUGAGACACGGUCCAGACUCCUACGGGAGGCAGCAGUAGGGAAUCUUCCGCAAUGGGCGAAAGCCUGACGGAGCAACGCCGCGUGAGUGAUGAAGGUCUUCGGAUCGUAAAACUCUGUUAUUAGGGAAGAACAAAUGUGUAAGUAACUAUGCACGUCUUGACGGUACCUAAUCAGAAAGCCACGGCUAACUACGUG
rnacentral:rRNA from 1 species